GCAUCAGUGGUGUAAUGGUUAACAUGUGGUCUUCCCAUCAUCAUAGUGAAACUUUCCGGUGGCCGCGUUCGGGGUUUGAUUCCCCGCUGAUGCA
rnacentral:tRNA from 1 species